AUAGACUAACAGACUGGAUAUGCAAACAGGAUCCAACAUUUUGCUACAUACAGGAAACACACCUCAAUAUCAAAGACAGUGUCUGAGAGUAAAUGGCUAGAAACAAUUUUCCAAGCAAAUGGUCCCAAGAAACAAGUUGGAGUAGCCAUUCUAAUAAAUGAGAAAAUAGGCUCGGAAAGGUCAAGCUACCAGUUCAAGGUUCACAAAGUAAAUACACACUAAAGUUGGGAUUUGAGUUAGUCUUUCAAGGUUCAAACUCUUCAUUACACAACAGCAGAUGGAUUCAUCAAGUAGAAUGGAGUAGGGCUGGAAAAUGAUGAGGGAGCAUGCUAGAAGAGACAAGGGCAGGAAGUACAUCUAAGAGGCAGGCCUAAAAAGAGGGAGACUGAAAGGUGCAAAGAACUCUGUUAGUGCUUGCUGUACUGAGAAACAACAGCCAGAUACUCCACAAAGAAUGGAGCCACUCCAGUGCUUCACAAAGAGUGAUUUAAGAGCUAAAUGGUAUCUUCUGAAGUUCCAUCUGGUCAUUUGGUAACUUUGGAAAUAGUAGUGGUGAAGCAAGCACAGGGAGAAGAUAAAAAGGUUGGUAGCUCCCUUACCAAUGGAUUAGAAAAGUGAGCCAACUAAUUGCCCCCAGCCUGCCCUGUUCCCUGCCCUCCAAAAAGGUUGGCUGCAAGAAUGCAUUGGCAAGAAUGUAUCGAUGACUGAUGAACUGAUUAUUCUGCCCAGAAUCUCUAUCAGUGAUUCUCAAUCUUCCUAAUGCUACAACCCCUUUAACAUAGUUCCUCAAGUUGUGCAGACCCCCUCCCCCCCAAAAAUUUUGUAGUUUUAUUGUUUGUUUUUAACUGCUAGAUAAAGCUGGACAUAUUUAGGAUGCUAUGUGUUGUUUCUACACAGGUGUUCCUUGUACAGUGUUUAAAUCACUGUGACCACAUCUAUCUUCUCAAAUAGUUAUCAUUUCUUUCUAUUAACAUCAUUCAAAUCCUUUCUUGUUAAUUUAAAAAAAUACAGCAUCAACUAUAGUCACUUUACUGUGCAAGUAUAGAUUUAGAAUCAUUUGUGUAAGUAACAGGUAACCCAAACACAAAAGUUCCAUUCUCCGCUCACUUUCUUGCUUCUCACACUUUAUUUUAUUUACGUGUAUAUGUGUAUCUAUGUGAGCACAUGUGGGUCACCAGAAUUGAUUUUUCUCUUCUCUAAUACAAGGUAUUAAUCUCCCUACCCCCCUCAUUGUUUUUUCUCUUCUUUAAGACAGGGCCAUAAUCUCCCUAUCACUGCCCUCUUCCUACUUUCUUCAGCCUCUGGGAGCCACUACUCACUUUCUUCUAAGAGACCACGGGGGGAAUAAAAGAAAGAAUAAGGUGUAUGUGCAUGAGUGUCAGGAUGGUGCUGGAAAGAUGGUGUCUUAGUUAGGGUUACUAUUGCUAUGAUGAAACACUAUGACCAUAUUAUGUUCCAUCACUGAAAAAUGUCAGGACAGGAACUCACACAUGGCAGGAAACUGGGGGCAGGUAUGAUGCAGAACAUGCUGCUUACUGGCUUGUUCCUCUUGGCUUCCUCAACCAAGAACCCAGAACCAUCAGCCCAGGGAUGGUGGUCCCACCCACAAUGGACUAAGCUCUCUCCUCUAUGAGUCACUAAUUAAGAAAAUGCAUCACAGGUUUGUCUAUAGUCCCAUCUUAUGGAGACAUUUUCUCAACUGAGGUUCCCUCUUCUCUGAUGAUUCUAGUUUGUGUUCAGUUGACAUAAAAUUAAUUGGAAUAGAUGGCUCGUGGUUAAGAGCACUUCUCGUAUGCAUUUGGUGUACAUAAAUAUAUGUAGGCAAAAUAUUCAUAAAUAUAAAAUAAAAAUCUAAGUGAGCAUAUUUGGGCAGAGGAUGGUAGUGAAGCCCAUAGGGCUGGAGUUACAGGUGGUUGUGAGCUGCCUGACAUGGGUGCUCUGGAAGAUCAGCAAGUGCUCUUAAGUUCUGAGCCAUCACUUCAGCCACAGAGUCUCACCUACCUUCUCUGCACACACAGGGGGAAAGCUCAUCUAUGUAUUAAUGCUUCAAGGUUCUUUUUGUGGUUGUUGUUGUGUCCCUUUAUUGUUUGUUGUUGUUUUUGUGUGUCUGGUAUGCUGCAUACAAGUGAGUGUGUAGAUGUGCACACAUACUAAGGCCAGGUCAAGAAAAUGGGUGUCCUCCUUCAUCAUUCUCUGAUUUGUAGCUUGAAGACAGGGUCUGUCACUUAACCCGGAGCUCACCCUUUCAGUGAAGCUGGUGGAUUCUUGGGACCCUCUUGUCCUCUGUUCGCCUCCCCAUCAAUGCUGGGUUUGCAGGCAUGUGAAGCCUAUGCCUAGCUUUUUAAAGUGGGUGCUGGGGAAUUUAAAAAUUAUAUUUUAUUUAUUAUGUACAUUUACAUAUGUAUAAAUGUAUAAGCAUGCAUGUGUAACAGUGUGUGUGUAUGUGUGUUGGUCAUAAAACAAUUUUUAGGAGUGUGUCUGCUCUUUGUACCAUAUGAUUCCUCUUCAUAUGACAUAAUUCUAUCUGCCUUGAUGUAAUUCAUUAUUUUUAUUGGGCAUUCAAAUGUCAAGAAGCACCCUCUAAAUUUACUGAAAAGUUAUAGGCUACUUUAACUAAGCAUAUUAAUUUAACUCCUGAUUCAGACUGGAGGAGUAGUAAUUAAAGAUCAAUUCUUAACUUGGUCAGUCCCAGACAGCAGACAAAAACUGCAACAGAGUAGUUGCACAUAUGGACUCACUGAAGUUAUGACAAUGUACACUAGACCUGCACAAGCUCAAGCUGGACAAAAUCUCAGCAUGGGGUGGAGGAAGAAAGGAACACAUUUAGCCAGCACCAGAGAUCCCUGGAAUGAGGCUCCAUGCUAACGAGGCAGCUCAGUACCAAUGACCUUUGCCCAUCCUGGAUAUUCUGACCCCCCAAUCUUCACAACUAUAUAAGCCUUGAAUAACUCCAAAUAAAGUUGAUCUGUCUAUCUGGA